GACGAACGCUGGCGGCAUGCCUAACACAUGCAAGUCGAACGGGAACCCCCGUCGUAGGGGCGCAGUGGCGCGUGAGUGGGGGGAACCUGCGCAUAGUUCCCGCAUAACUCCCCUAACUGGGUGCUAAUAGCGGAUAAUCUCUUCGUACCAAAGAUGGCUCGCCGUUGGAUGGGCCCGCGUUGGAUUGGUUAGUUGGUAGGGUAAAAGCCUGCCCAGGAGGGGAUGCAUAGCUGGUCUGAGAGGAUGACCAGCCACGCUGGGACUGAGACCCGGCCCAGACUCGUACGGGAGGGAGGAGUGGGGAAUAUUGGACACUGGGGGAAGGCGUGAUGCAGCAAUGCCGGGUGAGUGAUGAAGGGCUUAGGGUUGUAAAGCUCUUUUACCCGGGAUGAUAAUGACGGUACCGGGAGAAUAAGCUCCGGCUAACUCCGUG
rnacentral:rRNA from 1 species